AGCGCGAAGCCCCCCUCCAGAUAAGGUUUCCCAUGGAGUUAAUCCAGUAAGACCCCUGGCAGACUACCAGGUAGAUAGGCCGGGCGUGUAAGCACAGCAAUGUGUUUAGCGGACCGGUACUAAUAGGUCGAGGGCUUGACCUU
rnacentral:rRNA from 1 species